GACGAACGCUGGCGGCGUGCUUAACACAUGCAAGUCGAACGGAAAGGCCCUGCUUUUGUGGGGUGCUCGAGUGGCGAACGGGUGAGUAACACGUGAGUAACCUGCCCUUGACUUUGGGAUAACUUCAGGAAACUGGGGCUAAUACCGGAUAGGAGCUCCUGCUGCAUGGUGGGGGUUGGAAAGUUUCGGCGGUUGGGGAUGGACUCGCGGCUUAUCAGCUUGUUGGUGGGGUAGUGGCUUACCAAGGCUUUGACGGGUAGCCGGCCUGAGAGGGUGACCGGCCACAUUGGGACUGGGAUACGGCCCAAACUCCUUCGGGAGGCAGCAGUGGGGAAUAUUGCACAAUGGGCGGAAGCCUGAUGCAGCAACGCCGCGUGCGGGAUGACGGCCUUCGGGUUGUAAACCGCUUUCGCCUGUGACGAAGCGUGAGUGACGGUAAUGGGUAAAGAAGCACCGGCUAACUACGUG
rnacentral:rRNA from 1 species